AAGUAAGGCCCUAACGGUAGGGGAAGUUAGCCGAUAACUAAUUUUUAACUAGUUCAAGUCUAGUCUUAUUUU
rnacentral:tRNA from 1 species